AAUGAACGCUGGCGGCAUGCCUUACACAUGCAAGUCGAACGGCAGCAUGACCUAGCUUGCUAGGUUGAUGGCGAGUGGCGAACGGGUGAGUAAUGCAUCGGAACGUGCCUUUUAGUGGGGGAUAACGUAGCGAAAGUUACGCUAAUACCGCAUAUUCUCUGAGGAGGAAAGCAGGGGGCCUUCGGGCCUUGCGCUAGAAGAGCGGCCGAUGUCGGAUUAGCUAGUUGGUGAGGUAAAGGCUCACCAAGGCAACGAUCCGUAGCGGGUCUGAGAGGAUGAUCCGCCACACUGGGACUGAGACACGGCCCAGACUCCUACGGGAGGCAGCAGUGGGGAAUUUUGGGCAAUGGGCGCAAGCCUGAUCCAGCCAUGCCGCGUGAGUGAAGAAGGCCUUCGGGUUGUAAAGCUCUUUCGGCUGGGAAGAAAUCGCACUCUCUAAUACAGGGUGUGGAUGACGGUACCAGCAUAAGAAGCACCGGCUAACUACGUG
rnacentral:rRNA from 1 species